UAAUACGGAGGGGGCAAGCGUUGUUCGGAAUUACUGGGCGUAAAGGGCGCGCAGGCUGUUUCGUUAGUCAGGCGUGAAAUCCCCGGGCUUAACCCGGGAACUGCGUUUGAUACUGCGGAACUAGAGAUCGGGAGAGGGUAGUGGAAUUCCCAGUGUAGAGGUGAAAUUCGUAGAUAUUGGGAGGAACACCAGUGGCGAAGGCGGCUACCUGGACCGAUACUGACGCUGAGGCGCGAAAGCGUGGGGAGCAAACAGGAUUAGAUACCCUGGUAGUCCACGCCGUAAACGAUGUGUGCUAGACGUCGGGGGUUACGCCUUCGGUGUCGCAGCUAACGCAUUAAGCACACCGCCUGGGGAGUACGGUCGCAAGAUUA
rnacentral:rRNA from 1 species